rnacentral:rRNA from 1 species
GAUGAACGCUGGCGGCGUGCUUAACACAUGCAAGUCGAGCGGAGAUAAGAGGGAGCUUGCUCCCAAUUAUCUUAGCGGCGGACGGGUGAGUAUCACGUGGGCAACCUGCCUCAAAGAGGGGAGUAGCCUUCCGAAAGGAAGAUUAAUACCGCAUAAUAUUAGAAAUUCGCAUGAAUUUCUAAUCAAAGGAGUAAUCCGCUUUGAGAUGGGCCCGCGGCGCAUUAGCUAGUUGGUGGGGUAAUAGCCUGCCAAGGCAACGAUGCGUAGCCGACCUGAGAGGGUGAACGGCCACAUUGGAACUGAGAUACGGUCCAGACUCCUACGGGAGGCAGCAGUGGGGAAUAUUGCGCAAUGGGGGAAACCCUGACGCAGCAACGCCGCGUGAGCGAUGAAGGUCUUCGGAUCGUAAAGCUCUGUCUUUUGGGACGAUAAUGACGGUACCAAAAGAGGAAGCCACGGCUAACUACGUGCCAGCAGCCGCGGUAAUACGUAGGUGGCGAGCGUUGUCCGGAAUUACUGGGCGUAAAGGGUGCGUAGGCGGAUAUUUAAGUCAGAUGUGAAAUACCCAGGCUUAACUUGGGAGUUGCAUUUGAAACUGGAUAUCUAGAGUGCAGGAGAGGAAAGCGGAAUUCCUAGUGUAGCGGUGAAAUGCGUAGAGAUUAGGAAGAACACCAGUGGCGAAGGCGGCUUUCUGGACUGUAACUGACGCUGAGGCACGAAAGCGUGGGUAGCAAACAGGAUUAGAUACCCUGGUAGUCCACGCUGUAAACGAUGAAUACUAGGUGUAGGAGGUAUCAUCCCUUCUGUGCCGCAGUUAACACAAUAAGUAUUCCGCCUGGGGAGUACGGUCGCAAGAUUAA